UACGGAGGGUGCAAGCGUUAAUCGGAAUUACUGGGCGUAAAGCGCACGCAGGCGGUUUGUUAAGUCAGACGUGAAAUCCCCGGGCUCAACCUGGGAACUGCAUUUGAAACUGGCAAGCUAGAGUCUCGUAGAGGGGGGUAGAAUUCCAGGUGUAGCGGUGAAAUGCGUAGAGACCUGGAGGAAUACCGGUGGCGAAGGCGGCCCCCUGGACGAAGACUGACGCUCAGGUGCGAAAGCGUGGGGAGCAAACAGGAUUAGAUACCCUGGUAGUCCACGCUGUAAACGAUGUCGAUUUGGAGGUUGUGCCCUUGAGGCGUGGCUUCCGGAGCUAACGCGUUAAAUCGACCGCCUGGGGAGUACGGCCGCAAGGUUAAAACUCAAAUGAAUUGACGGGGGCCCGCACAAGCGGUGGAGCAUGUGGUUUAAUUCGAUGCAACGCGAAGAACCUUACCUACUCUUGACAUCCAGAGAACUUUCCAGAGAUGGAUUGGUGCCUUCGGGAACUCUGAGACAGGUGCUGCAUGGCUGUCGUCAGCUCGUGUUGUGAAAUGUUGGGUUAAGUCCCGCAACGAGCGCAACCCUUAUCCUUUGUUGCCAGCGGUUCGGCCGGGAACUCAAAGGAGACUGCCAGUGAUAAACUGGAGGAAGGUGAGGAUGACGUCAAGUCAUCAUGGCCCUUACGAGUAGGGCUACACACGUGCUACAAUGGCGUAUACAAAGAGAAGCGACCUCGCGAGAGCAAGCGGACCUCAUAAAGUACGUCGUAGUCCGGAUUGGAGUCUGCAACUCGACUCCAUGAAGUCGGAAUCGCUAGUAAUCGUAGAUCAGAAUGCUACGGUGAAUACGUUCCCGGGC
rnacentral:rRNA from 1 species